rnacentral:rRNA from 1 species
GAUGAACGCUGGCGGCGUGCCUAAUACAUGCAAGUCGAGCGAAUGGAUUAAGAGCUUGCUCUUAUGAAGUUAGCGGCGGACGGGUGAGUAACACGUGGGUAACCUGCCCAUAAGACUGGGAUAACUCCGGGAAACCGGGGCUAAUACCGGAUAACAUUUUGAACCGCAUGGUUCGAAAUUGAAAGGCGGCUUCGGCUGUCACUUAUGGAUGGACCCGCGUCGCAUUAGCUAGUUGGUGAGGUAACGGCUCACCAAGGAAACGAUGCGUAGCCGACCGGGGGGGGUGAUCGGCCACACUGGGACUGAGACACGGCCCAGACUCCUACGGGAGGCAGCAGUAGGGAAUCUUCCGCAAUGGACGAAAGUCUGACGGAGCAACGCCGCGUGAGUGAUGAAGGCUUUCGGGUCGUAAAACUCUGUUGUUAGGGAAGAACAAGUGCUAGUUGAAUAAGCUGGCACCUUGACGGUACCUAACCAGAAAGCCACGGCUAACUACGUGCCAGCCGCCGCGGUAA